rnacentral:lncRNA from 10 species
GAAAGCUCGAGACUCCAAUCCCAGGAAGGCGACGGCAGCGGCGGCAAAGAUGAAGCCUCCAGCGCAGCAAUUACAGAAUAUCUGCUCUGUUUAAGAACUUGGAAAAUGAAGACAUGAGUGAAACAGUCCCACCCCUUAAAGAACUCUGAAGUUAUUGAGAAAGACAGAGGGGCAGUAAACAACUCUCCUACAAGAGAAGAGGUGAAUGUGUUGUAAUAGAAGCACAAAUGAAGGGUUUACGCCCAACCAAUAUCUCACAUUAUUUAAACAAACCAUGUGGUUUUAAUCUUUCUUACCUUUGAACACACUUCUGCCAGCUAUUCCCAGCUCCCUUAUCUUUUUAUGAUAAUCUCUUGCAUCCUUCUAAACUCUCUGGGGGUAUAAUCACCUUUGUGAAAUCUUUCCUGAAUCCCAUUUUAUCUCUUCCCAUUUGUUUUGCCAGGAACUCUUCCAGCUAUGUAGAUUCAACAGUGAAUAAAACAAAGUUCUUUCUUUUGUGGAGCUUUGAUUCUAA